GGGUUCAGGAAAAGGAAGCAUGACAAUUUCCCACAUAACCAAAGAAGAGAAGGGAAGGAUGUUAAUUCAUCUUCACCCGUGAUGUUGGCCUUUAAAUCAUUUCAGCAGGAACUUGAUGCAAGGCAUGACAAAUAUGAGAGACUUGUGAAACUUAGUCGGGAUGUAACUGUUGAAAGUAAAAGGACAAUUUUUCUCCUCCAUAGGAUUACAAGUGCUCCUGAUAUGGAAGAUAUAUUGACUGAAUCAGAAAUUAAAUUGGAUGGUGUCAGACAAAAGAUAUUCCAGGUAGCCCAAGAGCUAUCAGGGGAAGAUAUGCAUCAGUUCCAUCGAGCCAUUACUACAGGUAAGUCUAGGUUUGUUUCAGGGUAAUAUAUAUUUUAAAUGGUGUGCUACAUGAUUAACAUGUGAGUUGCAUGAAUUUUAAGUGACACCUGAUGAAAUAAUAAUACUGGCUUUUAAAGAACUGCAACUUUGUAGUAAUAUAGAAGUAAUCCAAAGUCAAGUUGGCUUUAUGUUUUUUUUUUUAACAGUGUAGUGAUGGUCAUUGAUUGAUUUUAAUAAAGUAUUUGAGAACACAGAUUUAA
rnacentral:sRNA from 1 species